UCGCAUUACGCAUUAUCCGGACGGGAGUGCACGGAAAUGGGCUGAGACAGGGCCUAACGUGACUGGUCAGGGGUGGUGCCCAGCAUGUCGGUGAGAAAAAGCCCGGUAUGCACACCGUUAUCCGGCGGGACCAGGUUCGUCGUCGUAAAUUUACAGCUACUUCCGGCGGCGUUGAGGGUAUACGCAGAAUCCCUCCUCCCACUAC
rfam:Gammaproteobacteria bacterium SG8_15 WOR_8-12_7771, whole genome shotgun sequence.